rnacentral:rRNA from 1 species
ACGUGGCGGGGGUGCUUAAACAUGCAAGUCGAACGAUGAACCACUUCGGUGGGGAUUAGUGGCGAACGGGUGAGUAACACGUGGGCAAUCUGCCCUGCACUCUGGGACAAGCCCUGGAAACGGGGUCUAAUACCGGAUACUGACCACCACGGGCAUCUGUGGUGUUCGAAAGCUCCGGCGGUGCAGGAUGAGCCCGCGGCCUAUCAGCUUGUUGGUGAGGUAAUGGCUCACCAAGGCGACGACGGGUAGCCGGCCUGAGAGGGCGACCGGCCACACUGGGACUGAGACACGGCCCAGACUCCUACGGGAGGCAGCAGUGGGGAAUAUUGCACAAUGGGCGAAAGCCUGAUGCAGCGACGCCGCGUGAGGGAUGACGGCCUUCGGGUUGUAAACCUCUUUCAGCAGGGAAGAAGCGAAAGUGACGGUACCUGCAGAAGAAGCGCCGGCUAACUACGUGCCAGCAGCCGCGGUAAUACGUAGGGCGCAAGCGUUGUCCGGAAUUAUUGGGCGUAAAGAGCUCGUAGGCGGCUUGUCGCGUCGGUUGUGAAAGCCCGGGGCUUAACCCCGGGUCUGCAGUCGAUACGGGCAGGCUAGAGUUCGGUAGGGGAGAUCGGAAUUCCUGGUGUAGCGGUGAAAUGCGCAUAUAUCAGGAGGAACACCGGUGGCGAAGGCGGAUCUCUGGGCCGAUACUGACGCUGAGGAGCGAAAGCGUGGGGAGCGAACAGGAUUAGAUACCCUGGUAGUCCCACGCCGUAAACGGUGGGCACUAGGUGUGGGCAACAUUCCACGUUGUCCGUGCCGC